rnacentral:rRNA from 1 species
GGGUUGUGAGGUUAAGCGACUAAGCGUACACGGUGGAUGCCCUGGCAGUCAGAGGCGAUGAAGGACGUGCUAAUCUGCGAUAAGCGCCGGUAAGGUGAUAUGAACCGUUAUAACCGGCGAUUUCCGAAUGGGGAAACCCAGUGUGAUUCGUCACACUAUCAUUAACUGAAUCCAUAGGUUAAUGAGGCGAACCGGGGGAACUGAAACAUCUAAGUACCCCGAGGAAAAGAAAUCAACCGAGAUUCCCCCAGUAGCGGCGAGCGAACGGGGAGGAGCCCAGAGCCUGAAUCAGCAUGUGUGUUAGUGGAAGCGUCUGGAAAGGCGCGCGAUACAGGGUGACAGCCCCGUACACAAAAGCGCAUGUGCUGUGAGCUCGAUGAGUAGGGCGGGACACGUGGUAUCCUGUCUGAAUAUGGGGGGACCAUCCUCCAAGGCUAAAUACUCCUGACUGACCGAUAGUGAACCAGUACCGUGAGGGAAAGGCGAAAAGAACCCCGGCGAGGGGAGUGAAAAAGAACCUGAAACCGUGUACGUACAAGCAGUGGGAGCACAGGUUUACCUGUGUGACUGCGUACCUUUUGUAUAAUGGGUCAGCGACUUAUAUUCUGUAGCAAGGUUAACCGUAUAGGGGAGCCGGAGGGAAACCGAGUCUUAAUUGGGCGUUAAGUUGCAGGGUAUAGACCCGAAACCCGGUGAUCUAGCCAUGGGCAGGUUGAAGGUUGGGUAACACUAACUGGAGGACCGAACCGACUAAUGUUGAAAAAUUAGCGGAUGACCUGUGGCUGGGGGUGAAAGGCCAAUCAAACCGGGAGAUAGCUGGUUCUCCCCGAAAGCUAUUUAGGUAGCGCCUCGUGAAUUCAUCUCCGGGGGUAGAGCACUGUUUCGGCUAGGGGGCCAUCCCGGCUUACCAACCCGAUGCAAACUGCGAAUACCGGAGAAUGUUAUCACGGGAGACACACGGCGGGUGCUAACGUCCGUCGUGAAGAGGGAAACAACCCAGACCGCCAGCUAAGGUCCCAAAGUCAUGGUUAAGUGGGAAACGAUGUGGGAAGGCCCAGACAGCCAGGAUGUUGGCUUAGAAGCAGCCAUCAUUUAAAGAAAGCGUAAUAGCUCACUGGUCGAGUCGGCCUGCGCGGAAGAUGUAACGGGGCUAAACCAUGCACCGAAGCUGCGGCAGCGAACGUAUCACCCAAGACAACUUUACGGAGUUGACGAUUGACGGAGCGAAGCGACGUCAAAGCGUUCAUUAAAGUCGAGUUGGCUUAGGGAUACGUUCGUUGGGUAGGGGAGCGUUCUGUAAGCCUGUGAAGGUGUGUCGUGAGGCAUGCUGGAGGUAUCAGAAGUGCGAAUGCUGACAUAAGUAACGAUAAAGCGGGUGAAAAGCCCGCUCGCCGGAAGACCAAGGGUUCCUGUCCAACGUUAAUCGGGGCAGGGUGAGUCGACCCCUAAGGCGAGGCCGAAAGGCGUAGUCGAUGGGAAACGGGUUAAUAUUCCCGUACUUGGUGUUACUGCGAAGGGGGGACGGAGAAGGCUAUGUUGGCCGGGCGACGGUUGUCCCGGUUUAAGCGUGUAGGUGUGUGUUCCAGGUAAAUCCGGUUCACUUUAACACUGAGGCGUGAUGACGAGGCACUACGGUGCUGAAGCAACAAAUGCCCUGCUUCCAGGAAAAGCCUCUAAGCAUCAGGUAACAUCAAAUCGUACCCCAAACCGACACAGGUGGUCAGGUAGAGAAUACCAAGGCGCUUGAGAGAACUCGGGUGAAGGAACUAGGCAAAAUGGUGCCGUAACUUCGGGAGAAGGCACGCUGACACGUAGGUGAAGUGAUUUACUCACGGAGCUGAAGUCAGUCGAAGAUACCAGCUGGCUGCAACUGUUUAUUAAAAACACAGCACUGUGCAAACACGAAAGUGGACGUAUACGGUGUGACGCCUGCCCGGUGCCGGAAGGUUAAUUGAUGGGGUCAGCGCAAGCGAAGCUCCUGAUCGAAGCCCCGGUAAACGGCGGCCGUAACUAUAACGGUCCUAAGGUAGCGAAAUUCCUUGUCGGGUAAGUUCCGACCUGCACGAAUGGCGUAAUGAUGGCCAGGCUGUCUCCACCCGAGACUCAGUGAAAUUGAACUCGCUGUGAAGAUGCAGUGUACCCGCGGCAAGACGGAAAGACCCCGUGAACCUUUACUAUAGCUUGACACUGAACAUUGAGCCUUGAUGUGUAGGAUAGGUGGGAGGCUUUGAAGUGUGGACGCCAGUCUGCAUGGAGCCGACCUUGAAAUACCACCCUUUAAUGUUUGAUGUUCUAACGUGGACCCGUAAUCCGGGUUGCGGACAGUGUCUGGUGGGUAGUUUGACUGGGGCGGUCUCCUCCUAAAGAGUAACGGAGGAGCACGAAGGUUGGCUAAUCCUGGUCGGACAUCAGGAGGUUAGUGCAAUGGCAUAAGCCAGCUUGACUGCGAGCGUGACGGCGCGAGCAGGUGCGAAAGCAGGUCAUAGUGAUCCGGUGGUUCUGAAUGGAAGGGCCAUCGCUCAACGGAUAAAAGGUACUCCGGGGAUAACAGGCUGAUACCGCCCAAGAGUUCAUAUCGACGGCGGUGUUUGGCACCUCGAUGUCGGCUCAUCACAUCCUGGGGCUGAAGUAGGUCCCAAGGGUAUGGCUGUUCGCCAUUUAAAGUGGUACGCGAGCUGGGUUUAGAACGUCGUGAGACAGUUCGGUCCCUAUCUGCCGUGGGCGCUGGAGAACUGAGGGGGGCUGCUCCUAGUACGAGAGGACCGGAGUGGACGCAUCACUGGUGUUCGGGUUGUCAUGCCAAUGGCACUGCCCGGUAGCUAAAUGCGGAAGAGAUAAGUGCUGAAAGCAUCUAAGCACGAAACUUGCCCCGAGAUGAGUUCUCCCUGAGACUUAGAGUCUCCUGAAGGAACGUUGAAGACGACGACGUUGAUAGGCCGGGUGUGUAAGCGCAGCGAUGCGUUGAGCUAACCGGUACUAAUGAACCGUGAGGCUUAACCUUACA